rnacentral:rRNA from 1 species
CCUACGGGCGGCAGCAGUGAGGAAUAUUGGUCAAUGGCCGAGAGGCUGAACCAGCCAAGUCGCGUGAGGGAAGACGGCCCUACGGGUUGUAAACCCCUUUUGUCGGGGAGCAAAGCGAGUCACGUGUGACUCAUUGAGAGUACCCGAAGAAAAAGCAUCGGUCAACUCCGUGCCAGCAGCCGCGGUAAUACGGAGGAUGCGAGCGUUAUCCGGAUUUAGUGGGUUUAAAGGGUGCGCAGGCGGAGGUGCAAGUAAGCGGGAAAAUUGCGGGGCUCAACCCCGGACUGCCGUUGAAACUGCAUGCCUUGAGUGCGCGAGAGGUAUGCGGAAUUCGUGGUGUAGCGGUGAAAUGCGUAGAUAUCACGCAGAACUCCGAUUGCGAAGGCAGCAUACCGGCGCGCAACUGACGCUCAUGCACGAAAGCGUGGGUAUCGAACAGGAUUAGAUACCCCAGUAGUC